AGGACGAACGCUGGCGGCGGCGCCUAACGACAUGCAAGUCGAGCGAUAACCAGGGCUUGCCCUGGGGACAGCGGCGAACGGGUGCGUAACACGUGAGCAACCUGCCCCAAAGACCGGGACAACCCGAGGAAACUCGGACUAAUACCGGAUGCCCUCACCGGGCCGCAUGGUCUGGUGAGGAAAUGGAUUCCGCUUUGGGAUGGGCUCGCGGUCUAUCAGCUUGUUGGUGGGGUAACGCCUACCAAGGCGACGACGGAUAGCUGGUCUGAGAGGACGAUCAGCCACACUGGGACUGAGACACGGCCCAGACUCCUACGGGAGGCAGCAGUGGGGAAUCUUGCGCAAUGGGGGAAACCCUGACGCAGCGACGCCGCGUGCGGGAUGAAGGCCUUCGGGUUGUAACCGCUUUCAGCAGGGACGAAUUGACGGUACCUGCAGAAGAAGGCCCGGCAACUACGUGCCAGCAGCCGC
rnacentral:rRNA from 1 species